rnacentral:rRNA from 1 species
GCUUACGGCCAUACCACGUUGAAUACACCAGUUCUCGUCCGAUCACUGAAGUUAAGCAACGUCGGGCUCGGUUAGUACUUGGAUGGGGUGACCCGCCUGGGAAUACCGAGUGUCGUAAGCU